AGAGCGAACGCUGGCGGCAGGCCUAACACAUGCAAGUCGAGCGCCCGUAGCAAUACGGGAGCGGCAGACGGGAUAGUAACACGUGGGAACGCGCCCUUCGGUUCGGAAUAACUCAGGGAAACUUGAGCUAAUACCGGAUACGCCCUUACGGGGAAAGAUUUAUUGCCGAAGGAACGGCCCGCGUCCGAUUAGCUAGUUGGUGAGGUAAUGGCUCACCAAGGCGACGAUCGGUAGCUGGUCUGAGAGGAUGACCAGCAUCACUGGGACUGAGACACGGCCCAGACUCCUACGGGAGGCAGCAGUGGGGAAUAUUGGACAAUGGGCGCAAGCCUGAUCCAGCCAUGCCGCGUGGAUGAUGAAGGCCUUAGGGUUGUAAAGUCCUUUUAACGGGGAAGAUAAUGACGGUACCCGUAGAAUAAGCCCCGGCUAACGUUCGUGCCAGUAGCCGC
rnacentral:rRNA from 1 species